rnacentral:rRNA from 1 species
AGAGUUUGAUCCUGGCUCAGAACGAACGCUGGCGGCGUGGAUUAGGCAUGCAAGUCGAACGAGGCCGUCGACCUUCGCAAGAAGGACGGCGAGUCGAGUGGCGAAAGGGUGAGUAACGCGUAAGUAACCUGCCCCCAACAGCGGGACAACCUUGAGAAAUCGGGGCUAAUACCGUAUGUGGAUGCCAACCGGCAUCGGUUGGCAUUUAAAGGUUCGCGGAGAUUAUUCGAAGCGGGCCGGUUGGGGAGGGGCUUGCGUCCUAUUAGCUUGUUGGUGAGGUAACGGCUCACCAAGGCGAAGAUGGGUAGCUGGCCUGAGAGGGUGGUCAGCCACACUGGGACUGAGACACUGCCCAGACUCCUACGGGAGGCUGCAGUCGAGAAUCUUCCGCAAUGGGCGAAAGCCUGACGGAGCGACGCCGCGUGGAGGAUGAAGGCCUUCGGGUCGUAAACUCCUUUCAACCGGGAAGAAAACCCGUUUCGCGCGAGCGGAACGGCUUGACGGUACCGGUAGAAGAAGCCCCGGCUAACUUCGUGCCAGCAGCCGCGGUAAAACGGAGGGGGCUAGCGUUGUUCGGAUUUACUGGGCGUAAAGGGCAUGUAGGCGUCCCAAUCAGCUCUGGGUGAAAGUUCCGCGCUCAACGCGGAAAAGAAUCAGAGGACAGUUGGGAUUGAGUUCAGGGGAAGAAAGUGGAAUUCUCGGUGUAGCGGUGAUAUGCGUAGAUAUCGAGAAGAACACCAACGGCGAAGGCAGCUUUCUAUCCUGAAACUGACGCUGAAAUGCGAAAGCGUGGGGAGCGAACGGGAUUAGAUACCCCGGUAGUCCACGCUGUAAACGAUGGGCACUUGGUGUAUCCUGCUUGCAGGGUGUGCCGUAGCUAACGUGUUAAGUGCCCCGCCUGGGGAGUACGACCGCAAGGUUAAAACUCAAAGGAAUUGACGGGGGCCCGCACAAGCGGUGGAGCAUGUGGUUUAAUACGACGCAACGCGUAGAACCUUACCAGGGCUUGAC